rnacentral:lncRNA from 1 species
ACCCGAAAUGUAAAAACACCCGAACGGAUCUUGUAGGGUGGUACAAAAAAUAUCCGAACGCGAAGUGUUAUUAACUGAAUCCGAACGAGUAACCCGAAAAAUCAGAAAUUAAUAGUCGGUAUAAAUAUUUUGAAAUAUAUAUAAGUGUUUCAAUUAUUAAAUUCAAUAUUUGUGGUAAUAUGAUAUAUAAUAAUAAAUAUUAAAAUUUUAACAAAUGUUUUAAGUAUACAGUUAGUUAUAAAUAAGUAUUUUAUAAUUUGCUCAUUGAAAUAAAAAAGUUUACUCUCUAUAAGGCAAUACAUAUUGUUUACAAAUGAUGUUUGUUUUCAUGCUUGAUUUAACAUUUUAUUGUUAUUUUAUCAAUUUUACGUGUGAUAGAUUAAUUUGUAUUUAAUUUAGAUGCUUUUCUUUAUUUUUUGCUUCAAAAUUUUUUAUUUUUACUUCGGUUAUAUCCAAACUGAACCGAUAUAACCCGAAUCCGUACGAUAUAUGAUUACUUUAUGGGUUUUAGGACGCAAUACAAUUUUGAACCGAACCCGAAGUGUUAUUAUCUGAACCCAACCCAUACUAAUAAAAUUCUAGUAUGGGGCCUAGGAGCAUAAACCCGAAAAUCCAAAAAUCCGAAAAACCCGAUCCGAACGCCAACGGGUACCCGAACGCCCAUGCCUACUCCUAGCGUCCAAGUUCUAUACACAAAGGUUAAUUAAAAAUAAACUCCGAC